rnacentral:tRNA from 1 species
GGGGAGUUGCCGGAGCGGUCAAACGGGCCUGACUGUAAAUCAGGUGGCACUUGCCUACGGAGGUUCGAAUCCUCCACUCCCCA